UCCUAAAUUAGACUAUUCCUUGCCGGGCUCUGCCNUUGAUGUAAGCGCAGUGCAUAUAU
rnacentral:tRNA from 1 species